GACGAACGCUGGCGGCGUGCUUAACACAUGCAAGUCGAACGGAAAGGCCCUGCUUUUGUGGGGUGCUCGAGUGGCGAACGGGUGAGUAACACGUGAGUAACCUGCCCUUGACUUUGGGAUAACUUCUGGAAACUGGGGCUAAUACCGGAUAGGAGCUCCUGCUGCAUGGUGGGGGUUGGAAAGUUUCGGCGGUUGGGGAUGGACUCGCGGCUUAUCAGCUUGUUGGUGGGGUAGUGGCUUACCAAGGCUUUGACGGGUAGGCGGCCUGGGAGGGUGACCGGCCACAUUAGGACUGAGAGACGGACCAGACGGCUACGGGAGGCAGCGGUGGGGAGUAUGGCACAAUGGGCGGAAGCCUGAUGCAGCAACGCCGCGUGCGGGAUAACGGCCGUCGGGUUGUAAACCGCUUUCGCCUGUGACGAAGCGUGAGUGACGGUAAUGGGUAAAGAAGCACCGGCUAACUACGUG
rnacentral:rRNA from 1 species